CUGAUAACCGAAGCUGCGGAUGGGCACGUAAGUGUCCGUGGUAGGGGAGCGUUCUGUAGGUCUGUGAAGGUGUCUCGUAAGGGAUGCUGGAGAUAUCAGAAGUGCGAAUGCUGACAUGAGUAGCGAUAAAGCGGGUGAAAAGCCCGCUCGCCGAAAGCCCAAGGUUUCCUACGCAACGUUCAUCGGCGUAGGGUGAGUCGGCCCCUAAGGCGAGGCUGAAAAGCGUAGUCGAUGGGAAACGGGUUAAAAUUCCCGUACUUUUGUGUAGUGCGAUGUGGGGACGGAGAAGGUUAGGUCAUCAGACUGUUGGAAUAGUCUGUUUAAGCCGGUAGGCGUGAGGGGUAGGCAAAUCCGCCCUUCUUUAACGCCGA
rnacentral:rRNA from 1 species